GACGAACGCUGGCGGCGUGCCUAAUACAUGCAAGUCGAGCGGACCGGAUUGGGGCUUGCCUUGAUUCGGUCAGCGGCGGACGGGUGAGUAACACGUGGGCAACCUGCCCGCAAGACCGGGAUAACUCCGGGAAACCGGAGCUAAUACCGGAUAACACCGAAGACCGCAUGGUCUUCGGUUGAAAGGCGGCCUUUGGGCUGUCACUUGCGGAUGGGCCCGCGGCGCAUUAGCUAGUUGGUGAGGUAACGGCUCACCAAGGCGACGAUGCGUAGCCGGCCUGAGAGGGUGACCGGCCACACUGGGACUGAGACACGGCACAGACUCCUACGGGAGGCAGCAGUAGGGAAUCUUCCGCAAUGGGCGAAAGCCUGACGGAGCGACGCCGCGUGAGCGAAGAGGGCCUUCGGGUCGUAAAGCUCUGUUGUGAGGGACGAAGGAGCGUCGUUCGAAGAGGGCGGCGCGGUGACGGUACCUCACGAGAAAGCCCCGGCUAACUACGUG
rnacentral:rRNA from 1 species